GAAAUCAAAUGAACCACCAACAACUGGUACUCCAAAACUAUCAUGAUUUCCUUUGAGAUCAUAGAAUAUGUGAACCAUGAUUAUAAUUCACAGAAAGGAAGCAGGGAGUCCAUUGGAAUCAGUAGAAAAGAAAUAAAGAAACUGAAAUUUUAAGAACCACUUCUGCGUACUAGGAAAUGAACUGCUGCAUGCAGCUAGUUUCUCCUGGGCACAUAAAACUCGCAUAAAAAGAAUUUUCAGCGAACUAGUUAAAUACCUUCAAUAUGAAUUCACUCUCUCUUUAUUUUGAAAUAAUGAAGAUUAUGCGUUGAAAACUCAAAAGUAAACCUAUGUAUCAUUCUGAAAUUAUUGCUUGGUUUUUUUAAUCCUUAACAAAAGUUCCAUUGAUUUUUGUACCAAAGUAACUGGCGUAAUUCCAGUAGACAAAGUUAAACGGAUACAUGUCAAUAGGUCCUAAGUCUGCAUCCCAACCAAAUCAA
rnacentral:misc_RNA from 1 species